GAUGAACGCUAGCUACAGGCUUAACACAUGCAAGUCGAGGGGAAACGACAUCGAAAGCUUGCUUUUGAUGGGCGUCGACCGGCGCACGGGUGAGUAACGCGUAUCCAACCUGCCCACCACUUGGGGAUAACCUUGCGAAAGUAAGACUAAUACCCAAUGGUAUCUCUAGAAGACAUCUGAAAGAGAUUAAAGAUUUAUCGGUGAUGGAUGGGGAUGCGUCUGAUUAGCUUGUUGGCGGGGUAACGGCCCACCAAGGCAACGAUCAGUAGGGGUGCUGAGAGGAAGGUCCCCCACAUUGGAACUGGGACGCGGUCCAAACUCCUACGGGAGGCAGCAGUGAGGAAUAUUGGUCAAUGGACGAGAGUCUGAACCAGCCAAGUAGCGUGCAGGAUGACGGCCCUAUGGGUUGUAAACUGCUUUUAUAAGGGAAUAAAGUGAGUCUCGUGAGGCUUUUUGCAUGUACCUUAUGAAUAAGGACCGGCUAAUUCCGUGCCAGCCGCCGCGGUAA
rnacentral:rRNA from 1 species